rfam:Vibrio coralliilyticus strain 58 chromosome I, complete sequence.
GUAGUUAGCAGAGCCUUCUUAAGUUUACAGGCCGUAAAACUUGUUUUCUUGACUGACGCUACUAAUUUACGCUGCUUUUUCUUAUUAACUCCUAUGUUUUGUAUCAGCCCAGAGCCAGUUUGCUCUGGGCUUUUUUUA